GUAGUCUCGCACAGAUGCAUAUCAAUAAGCGGAGGAAAAGAAACUAACAAGGAUUCCCCUAGUAACGGCGAGCGAAGCGGGAAGAGCUCAAAUUUGAAAUCUUAAAGGGUUUCCCUUUACGAAUUGUAGUUUAAAGAAGUGUUUUCUGUUGAGGUUUUGGUAAAAGUUCUUUGGAAUAGGACAUCAUAGAGGGUGAGAAUCCCGUAUUUGACCUUUACUUUCAACUUUGUGAUACACUUUCAAAGAGUCGGAUUGUUUGGGAAUGCAGUCCAAAAUGGGUGGUAAAUUUCAUCUAAAGCUAAAUAUUGGCGAGAGACCGAUAGCGAACAAGUACCGUGAGGGAAAGAUGAAAAGAACUUUGAAAAGAGAGUUAAACAGUACGUGAAAUUGUCAAAAGGGAAGCGUUUGACACCAGUGUUGUUUUUCUGAAAAUCAAUUAAAGAACUGUUUAUGCUAAGUUGUUUAGACUUUAUCAGCUAACUGUUUAGUUUUGAGCUUUUCUUUAAUGCACUUUUCAGUUAACAAGUCAACAUCAAUUUCUUUUGCUGUAAAAAAGCUUGAGGAAGGUGGCUUGAGAUUCGUCUUAAGUGUUUAUAGCCUCUUGCCUAUGCAGUCGGAGAGAUUGAGGUCUGCAGCGUAGAUCCUUCGGGGCUAAAUGCAUUUGUGCUAAGUUAUAGCAUUUUAUAGACAACUUGUUGACUAUGAUUUGUCUUGUAGCUUACUCGCUUAUGUUAUUUUACCUACGCUUAGGAUGUUGAUCUGUAGUGCGUGCGC
rnacentral:rRNA from 1 species